rnacentral:rRNA from 1 species
GAUGAACGCUGACAGAAUGCUUAACACAUGCAAGUCUACUUGAAUUUGGGUUUUUAACUUAGAUUUGGGUGGCGGACGGGUGAGUAACGCGUAAAGAACUUGCCUCACAGCUAGGGACAACAUUUAGAAAUGAAUGCUAAUACCUAAUAUUAUGAUAAUAGGGCAUCCUAUAAUUAUGAAAGCUAUAUGCGCUGUGAGAGAGCUUGCGUCCCAUGAGCUAGUUGGAGAGGUAACGGCUCACCAAGGCGAUGAUGGGUAGCCGGCCUGAGAGGGUGAUCGGCCACAAGGGGACUGAGACACGGCCCUUACUCCUACGGGAGGCAGCAGUGGGGAAUAUUGGACAAUGGACCGAGAGUCUGAUCCAGCAAUUCUGUGUGCACGAUGAAGUUUUUCGGAAUGUAAAGUGCUUUCAGUUGGGAAGAAAGAAAUGACGGUACCAACAGAAGAAGUGACGGCUAAAUACGUGCCAGCAGCCGCGGUAAUACGUAUGUCACGAGCGUUAUCCGGAUUUAUUGGGCGUAAAGCGCGUCUAGGUGGUUAUAUAAGUCUGAUGUGAAAAUGCAGGGCUCAACUCUGUAUUGCGUUGGAAACUGUAUAACUAGAGUACUGGAGAGGUAAGCGGAACUACAAGUGUAGAGGUGAAAUUCGUAGAUAUUUGUAGGAAUGCCGAUGGGGAAGCCAGCUUACUGGACAGAUACUGACGCUGAAGCGCGAAAGCGUGGGUAGCAAACAGG